ACAACGGAGAGUUUGAUCCUGGCUCAGGACGAACGCUGGCGGCGUGCUUAACACAUGCAAGUCUACGAGAAAGUUUCUUUCGGGAAGCGAGUAAAGUGGCGCACGGGUGAGUAACACGUAAGUAAUCUACCCUUAGGUCCGGAAUAACUCCGAGAAAUCGGGG
rnacentral:rRNA from 1 species